CAGAGGUGGGUGCGGGCGUCGGCCCACUCCAGGUCGGGGUUGGUGUAACGUCAUGGAAGGCCUUCAGGUGAAGCAAUAUCUGAGCUGAGUUUUGAAAGACAGGCAUGUGAGAUGUGGGGGAUAGGCUGCCAGCAAAGCCAUCAGCGCUUGCAAAGUGACCUGAGGGCGUGGGAAGAUGACAGGGGCUGGAGUACAGGACUCUGGAGGCGAGCUGAGCGAUAGAAUGGGAUGAAACGUAUGAAGCAGCUGUUUCAGGCCCUGGAUUCGCUCCAGACAGUGCGGGACUGUGAUCCCUGCAGAGCAGAGAAACACUAAGGGAAGGAGAGACAGACAGGGAAGGAGAGAUGGAGAAGAAAGGGUCGUAGCGGGGCUGAUGGCCAACUGGUAAACACCAGUGUGGCCACAGUGAUUUUCUAAAUAUCACAGUGUUUCCACACUAAUUGGAGGAAAGAAAAAACCUGCCAACUAAACUGUGACACCUGAUAGUGCUGUGCCGUCAUGAAUCAGUCACACCGGCCUCUUGUGGCCCUGAAAUUUCUUUCAUCUAUCCUGAAGGAUUUGGCAAUUUCUCCUGCCUCUGGCUGCCAGGAUAGGCAAUCCUGCCCAUUUCUCCAUAAUAAAAUGUAAUGC
rnacentral:lncRNA from 1 species